rnacentral:rRNA from 1 species
CUGGGAGGACCAUCUCCUAAGGCUAAAUACUCUCUAGUGACCGAUAGUGAACCAGUACCGUGAGGGAAAGGUGAAAAGCACCCCGGAAGGGGAGUGAAAUAGAACCUGAAACCGUGUGCUUACAAGUAGUCAGAGCCCGUUAAUGGGUGAUGGCGUGCCUUUUGUAGAAUGAACCGGCGAGUUACGAUUUGAUGCAAGGUUAAGCAGUAAAUGUGGAGCCGUAGCGAAAGCGAGUCUGAAUAGGGCGUUUAGUAUUUGGUCGUAGACCCGAAACCAGGUGAUCUACCCUUGGUCAGGUUGAAGUUCAGGUAACACUGAAUGGAGGACCGAACCGACUUACGUUGAAAAGUGAGCGGAUGAACUGAGGGUAGCGGAGAAAUUCCAAUCGAACCUGGAGAUAGCUGGUUCUCUCCGAAAUAGCUUUAGGGCUAGCCUCAAGUGAUGAUUAUUGGAGGUAGAGCACUGUUUGGACGAGGGGCCCCUCUCGGGUUACCGAAUUCAGACAAACUCCGAAUGCCAAUUAAUUUAACUUGGGAGUCAGAACAUGGGUGAUAAGGUCCGUGUUCGAAAGGGAAACAGCCCAGACCACCAGCUAAGGUCCCAAAAUAUAUGUUAAGUGGAAAAGGAUGUGGCGUUGCCCAGACAACUAGGAUGUUGGCUUAGAAGCAGCCAUCAUUUAAAGAGUGCGUAAUAGCUCACUAGUCGAGUGACACUGCGCCGAAAAUGUACCGGGGCUAAACAUAUUACCGAAGCUGUGGAUUGUCCUUUGGACAAU